rnacentral:rRNA from 1 species
AGAGUUUGAUCCUGGCUCAGGACGAACGCUGGCGGCGUGCCUAAUACAUGCAAGUAGAACGCACAGUUUAUACCGUAGCUUGCUACACCAUAAACUGUGAGUUGCGAACGGGUGAGUAACGCGUAGGUAACCUGCCUGGUAGCGGGGGAUAACUAUUGGAAACGAUAGCUAAUACCGCAUAAUAUUGAUUAUUGCAUGAUAAUUGAUUGAAAGAUGCUAUUGCAUCACUACCAGAUGGACCUGCGUUGUAUUAGCUAGUAGGUGAGGUAACGGCUCACCUAGGCGACGAUACAUAGCCGACCUGAGAGGGUGAUCGGCCACACUGGGACUGAGACACGGCCCAGACUCCUACGGGAGGCAGCAGUAGGGAAUCUUCGGCAAUGGACGAAAGUCUGACCGAGCAACGCCGCGUGAGUGAAGAAGGUUUUCGGAUCGUAAAGCUCUGUUGUAAGAGAAGAACGGGUGUGAGAGUGGAAAGUUCACACUGUGACGGUAUCUUACCAGAAAGGGACGGCUAACUACGUGCCAGCAGCCGCGGUAAUACGUAGGUCCCGAGCGUUGUCCGGAUUUAUUGGGCGUAAAGCGAGCGCAGGCGGUUAGAUAAGUCUGAAGUUAAAGGCUGUGGCUUAACCAUAGUACGCUUUGGAAACUGUUUAACUUGAGUGCAGAAGGGGAGAGUGGAAUUCCAUGUGUAGCGGUGAAAUGCGUAGAUAUAUGGAGGAACACCGGUGGCGAAAGCGGCUCUCUGGUCUGUAACUGACGCUGAGGCUCGAAAGCGUGGGGAGCGAACAGGAUUAGAUACCCUGGUAGUCCACGCCGUAAACGAUGAGUGCUAGGUGUUAGGCCCUUUCCGGGGCUUAGUGCCGCAGCUAACGCAUUAAGCACUCCGCCUGGGGAGUACGACCGCAAGGUUGAAACUCAAAGGAAUUGACGGGGGCCCGCACAAGCAGUGGAGUAUGUGGUUUAAUUCGACGCAACGCGAAGAACCUUACCAAGUCUUGACAUCCUGCGACGAUGCUGGAAACAGUAUUUUCCUUCGGGACGCAGAGACAGGUGGUGCAUGGUUGUCGUCAGCUCGUGUCGUGAGAUGUUGGGUUAAGU